UACAAUAGGUGAGCUCCACAAGGGUGGUCGGUUCAUCCCCGUUUUGGAAAGGGGGUGAUAGCAUGACAGUAUAUGAAGCACUAAGUCUGAUGGUAGCGUUCGGGACCUUAGUCUUAAUGCUGUCAACCAGUAAAAAGAAGUAGACCUCCCUUGAGCCUGACAGCCGGGAGGUCGACACCGAGAAGUGAGAGCCGCCCCCCAAAUGGGGAACAACUAUUGUAUCCAUCGACCG
rnacentral:sRNA from 1 species